AACCCGUAGAUCCGAACUUGUGUUGGCUUCAUAUUCACAGGUUCGAAUCCACAGGUCCUG
rnacentral:pre_miRNA from 1 species